AAUAUACUAAAGAGAAAUACUAAGAAUCCACUUUUGGUAUAUUUAUAUACAUAUAAGAAGAAUAUACUAAGAGAAAAUGAGAAUUGGAUGGACAAACAUAGUCUCAUUCUUAAGGAACUGAUAUUUGGUUUUAGAUAUCUUUAAAAGUAGAAAAUAAGUUUUCUAAAGUGUUUUUCAACUAACAUAUUUUAAUAUGAAUGGCUAAUGCAACCCAAAUCUGUCUUGACAGCUAAGCUGCAAAACCAAGAGGAAGGUAUUUCUUGCAAGAAGCAACUUUUUAACUAUUGCAGUCCUUUGAUAGAGGUAGAAAAAAGACAACUAAAGGGAAUCAUGAUCUAAUUACUCAGUAACAG
rnacentral:lncRNA from 1 species